GAGUCUCGCUCUGUCACCCAGGCUGGAGUGCAGUGGCGCGAUCUCGGCUCACUGCAACUCCGCCUCCCGGGUUCACGCCAUUCUCCUGCCUCAGCCUCCUGAGUAACUGGGAUUACAGGUGUUUGCCACCACGCCUGGCUGAUUUUUUUAUUUUUUAUUUUUGUGGAGAUGGGGGUCUCACUAUGUUGCCCAGGCUGGUCUUGAACUCCUGGGUUCAAGUGAUCCUCCUGCCUUGGCCUCAGGGAUUAUUGGAGUGAGCCACCAAGCCUGGCCUCUAUAUUUUUACAAUUUUUGAAUUUAAAAAAUGGGCAUGUUUAAAAAUUAUAAUCAGAAAAAAACCUACUAAAAUCAAAACAUACAAGUAACACAAAGGGAAUACUCUGUUGGAACCUAUUACCAAGUCCUCAUAACUAGGAUGAAGAACUGAUGGUAAGCAUUCUGGAAUCAGAAAGCAAAGGAACGGCUAGUAAAUUUGGAGAGAAAGCUUAGUAACAGAAUGAAGGGAACAGCAUAAAGGAUAGGCCCUUUCAGAAG
rnacentral:lncRNA from 10 species